ACUGGUUGAUCCUGCGUAGAUAUGGCUUGUCUCAAAGAUUAGCAUGCAUGUCUAAGUAGCACGGCCGGUCGUGGAAACUGCGAUGGCUCAUUAAAUCAGUUAUGGUUCUUUGGUCGCUGCUCUCUCUACUUGGAUCUGUGGUAUUCUAGAGCUAAUCAUGCGACGCGGCUUGACCCCUUCGCCGGGGGGGUGGUGCAUUUAUUGAUCAACCAACGGUCAGCUUCUUUCCGGGCUCCGGCCGGGGGGGGGGGCGCCGGCGGCUUUGGUGACUUCUAGUACUCGGUUCGAUUCGCCACGCCCGUGCGGCGACGCCCAUUCGACGUCUGCCCUAUCAAUUUUCGAUGUAGUCGAUGUGCUACAUGGUGACACGGGGUGACGGGGAAUCAGGUUCGAUUCGGCAGAGGGAGCUGCAGAAACGGCCUACACAUCGAAGGAGCAGCAGGCGCGCAAUUACACCAUCCCGCGGGGAGGUGUUGACGAAUACACUUACGGCCUUUCGAGGCCCUGUAUUGGAAUGGUCACUUUUAAAUCCUUAACGAGGAUUCAUUGGGGGCAAGUCUGGUGCGCAGCGCGGUAUUCAGCUCCCAAAGCGUUAUUUCAGUGGCUGCAGUAAAAGCUCGUAGUCUGGAUCUUGGGAGCGGGCGGGCGGCUCCGCGCGAGGGAGUCACACGCCGCCCCGCCCUUGCUUCGCGCCCUCAUGCCUCUUAGUGAGUGUCCGGGGGCCCGCAAGCGUAUUCUUUGAAAACUUCGACGUGUUCAAAGCAGGCCGUCCGCUUGGAUACGCACGCUCAGGACUGAAGAUGGCCGCGGUUCUUUUUGUUGGUUUUUCGGAACUGGGCAUGGUUAGAGGGGACGGCGGGGCAUUUCGGUAUUGCGCGCUAGGAGGGUGAAUUCUUGGCCGGCGCGACGGACAGCGCGAACGAUUUGCAGAAUGGUUUCUUAAUCAAAACGAAGUCGAGGUCGAAGACGAUCAGAUUACCGUCGUAGUUACCGCCAUACACUAUGCCGACUGGCGUGCGGCAGGCGUUUUCCAAUGCCCGCGGGCAGUUCCGGGAACAAGUCUUUGGGUUCGGGGGGGUUUGGUUGCCAGUGAUUAAAGGAAUUGACGGAAGGACCAGGAGUGGAGCCUGGAUUAAUUCUGAUCAACCCGGGCACUCACCGGCCGGACACGCAGGAAUUGACGAUUGCAUGUCUUUUCGAUCCGUGGGUUGUGGUGCAUGGCCGUUCUUAGUCUGGGGAGCGAUUUGUCUGGUUAUUCCGUCGAACGGAACUUGGUGCUAAACUAGUUAGCGACCCGGCGGUCGGCGCGACUCCCACUUCUUAGAGGGAAGUGGCGUUUCAAGCCACCGAGAAUUGGGCAAUACAGGGUUGUGAUUGCCCUUAGAUGUCCGGCUGCACGCCGCGCUACACUGACUUGGCUCGCUUUGUGACCUCACCUCCGCCGGCAGAGCGCCGGGAACGUUGAAACCCAUUCGUGAUGGGGUCGGGAUUUUGCAUUAUUCCCAUGACGGGAAUUUCCCAGUAGUGGGUCAUAAGCUUGCGUUGAUUAAGUCCCUGCCCUUUGUACACACCGCCCGUCGCUACUACCGAUUGGAUGGUUUAGUGGGGCCCUCGGAUCGGCCCCGCCGGGGUCGGCCCACGGCCCUGGCGGAGCGCUGAGAAGACGGUCGAACUUGACUAUCUAGAGGAAGUAAAAGUCGUAACAAGGUUUCCGUAGGUGAACCUGCGGAAG
rnacentral:rRNA from 1 species